rnacentral:ncRNA from 2 species
UGACCCCGCGCGGGAGAGUCCUCCGGAGACAUCGGAGGCGCCGAAGGAGCAAAUCCUCCCCGGAAUCUCUCAGGCACACGUACCGCGUGGACGAG